UACGUAGGGGGCUAGCGUUGUCCGGAUUUAUUGGGCGUAAAGAGCGUGUAGGCGGCCAGGUAGGUCUGCUGUGAAAUCCCUCGGCUCAACUGAGGAGCGUCGAUCGAAACUGCCGUUCUUUGAGGGUUGCAGAGGAGACUGGAAUUCCCGGUGUAGCGGUGAAAUGUGUAGAGAUCGGGAGGAACACCGGUGGCGAAGGCGGGUCACUGGUCCGGUACUGACGCUGAGGUGCGAAAGCGUGGGGAGCAAACAGG
rnacentral:rRNA from 1 species